UACGUAGUGUUUACUACAUAACUUUGAACAUGAUUCCUGAGUUCCCUAAGCAUAGGUUUGGGCUCAAACUUGGCUGAGUUCAUCUAUUCAUCAAGAUCUUGCGGUCGUAUCAUGUGCUUAUUUGGAAUAAGAUGAGCGGUCUAGGAGAUAGGAUAUUUUUGCUUCUGUUUGCAGUCCAUAUCUCUAGAAGUCCGUGAAUAAUUCCACGAAGAGAAAGAAAUAGCACAAAAGAAAAAAAACUGGUCCAACUUUGAACCAAUGAAGCUCGUCCCAAAUAAUUUAAAUUUGAUAAUCAUCUAGAGAAAUUGAGCCUAACGAGCACAUCUAUGUUAAUCUACACAACCCUGCAAUCGGAAGGUAAAUUAUCGAGAAUUUCUUGAAUACCUAUUUAUUUUAUGGACGUCGCUUUCUUUGCAUGACGUUCAGAAAUAUAAGGCCUGAAAAAAUUUGAAUUGGUCCAGGCACCAUUGGCAAGUCCGUCUUCUUACGCCAUCGAAUUUGAAAAUAAGAACGAGGGCUUACUUGCCUGGCUCCUCUUCAAAUGAGAUGGCAUGAAAAGGCAGAGAUAAAUUUACUCUAAAAACUCCAAAAACACACACAUCCAGCUCAGUAAAGAUAUCGACUUGAAUAAUAAGACGUAACACUUUGCUUAGCAUUUCAUUCCUACAUCUGUGCAUCAAGUUUCAUCUAUUUCUGUCAAAUAGUUUUGAAUCUACCAUUGAAACCAUCACAUCAAGCCAAGGACUUUUUUUGGAUGCCUAGUAUUAACUUUAACAGGAUCCAAGUAGUCAUACACAAUCACAUCUUGCCGUACUAAAUGACCAUCUCAAAGAGUUGCUUGCAGAAAGUCUGUGAGAGACUCUUCCGUCUUCAAUAAUUCGUCAGCAUGGUCUCGACAAAAUUCCAGCGCUUUUUGGGUCAAUAAUUGCGAGUUGACCAGCUCUCCCAGGGCAUUGAGAUCAAAAUCAUCAAUAUGAACUUGGUCGGUCUGGCUCUCCUGGUGUUUGUUCGUUGGAUAUAUUAUGGUCAUGAAGACAUCCGAGCUCGAGGCCAACAUGUGCUUAUGGCAAGGAAGGCAAAUCUCCCCAAUCACCAGGUUCACAUCCGGAAAAUGUUUGGGAGGCAAACGACGUGGUCUGUGGCUCUUCCCGAGUAUCCAAAACUUGCAUCCUACAGGAAUCAUUGGAUUUUUGGGUACUCCAACCCUUUUCGGUAAUUACACACCCUCCUAGUCCCCUUUGACGCCCCACCAAGUGACGACUACGAUCAGGAAAAUGGAAUUGCUCUCCUUCAGAGAGGAACAAGAUAAAACCAUAACACCUGCGUCAGCGCAACUCUCAUUUUGUUCCUGUGCAGGAAUUCAAACUGACUCGAAAUAAUAAACAG